CUCUCUCUGAACUUAGCUCAAGGGCCAUAGAUGUUCCUAGGAACGACGAUGUCGCCGAUGUUGUUGUGCCACGGGUCCGCCAGGUGCGCGCCCAGGUUCUCCAGCGGGCCGGUGCCGGGGUACGCCGACUGCUGCACGCAGAAGCCCACGAACGCCAGCAUCGCCAGCCGCCCUGCAUCAUCAUCAGAGACAAGAUCAUACUACAUCAGCACCGAACGCUACACGCACUGCAGAUGGUUAAGAUUCAGGGGAUGGCACGUACCGUUCUUGAUCUCCUUGAGCUUGAGCUCCUCGAACUUGGCCGGGUCCUUGGAGAAUCCCAGCGGGUCGAAG
rnacentral:lncRNA from 1 species